rnacentral:rRNA from 1 species
AGAGUUUGAUCAUGGCUCAGAUUGAACGCUGGCGACAGGCCUAACACAUGCAAGUCGAGCGGAAACGAGUUAUCUGAACCUUCGGGGAACGAUAACGGCGUCGAGCGGCGGACGGGUGAGUAAUGCCUAGGAAAUUGCCCUGAUGUGGGGGAUAACCAUUGGAAACGAUGGCUAAUACCGCAUAAUGCCUACGGGCCAAAGAGGGGGACCUUCGGGCCUCUCGCGUCAGGAUAUGCCUAGGUGGGAUUAGCUAGUUGGUGAGGUAAUGGCUCACCAAGGCGACGAUCCCUAGCUGGUCUGAGAGGAUGAUCAGCCACACUGGAACUGAGACACGGUCCAGACUCCUACGGGAGGCAGCAGUGGGGAAUAUUGCACAAUGGGCGCAAGCCUGAUGCAGCCAUGCCGCGUGUGUGAAGAAGGCCUUCGGGUUGUAAAGCACUUUCAGUCGUGAGGAAGGUGGUAGUGUUAAUAGCACUAUCAUUUGACGUUAGCGACAGAAGAAGCACCGGCUAACUCCGUGCCAGCAGCCGCGGUAAUACGGAGGGUGCGAGCGUUAAUCGGAAUUACUGGGCGUAAAGCGCAUGCAGGUGGUUUGUUAAGUCAGAUGUGAAAG